CAGAGGGUGCAAACGUUGUUCGGAAUUACUGGGCGUAAAGCGCAUGUAGGUGGCCAAGCAGGUCGGAUGUGAAAUCCCUCGGCUCAACCAAGGAAGUGCAUUCGAAACCGCAUGGCUCGAGUCCCGGAGAGGAAGGUGGAAUUCUCGGUGUAGAGGUGAAAUUCGUAGAUAUCGAGAGGAACACCGGUGGCGAAAGCGGCCUUCUGGACGAGGACUGACGCUGAGAUGCGAAAGCGUGGGGAGCAAACAGGAUUAGAUACCCUGGUAGUCCACGCCGUAAACGAUGGGUGCUAGGUGUCGCGGGCUUUGACCCCUGCGGUGCCGUAGCUAACGCAUUAAGCACCCCGCCUGGGAAGUACGGCCGCAAGGCUA
rnacentral:rRNA from 1 species